CCUUGGAUGGCGAAGUCUGACGGAGCACGCCGCGUGAGUGAUGAAGGUUUUCGGAUCGUAAAGCUCUGUUGUUAGGGAAGAACAAGUGCCGUUCAAAUAGGGCGGCACCUUGACGGUACCUAACCAGAAAGCCACGGCUAACUACGUGCCAGCAGCCGCGGUAAUACGUAGGUGGCAAGCGUUGUCCGGAAUUAUUGGGCGUAAAGGGCUCGCAGGCGGUUUCUUAAGUCUGAUGUGAAAGCCCCCGGCUCAACCGGGGAGGGUCAUUGGAAACUGGGGAACUUGAGUGCAGAAGAGGAGAGUGGAAUUCCACGUGUAGCGGUGAAAUGCGUAGAGAUGUGGAGGAACACCAGUGGCGAAGGCGACUCUCUGGUCUGUAACUGACGCUGAGGAGCGAAAGCGUGGGGAGCGAACAGGAUUAGAUACCCUGGUAGUCCACGCCGUAAACGAUGAGUGCUAAGUGUUAGGGGGUUUCCGCCCCUUAGUGCUGCAGCUAACGCAUUAAGCACUC
rnacentral:rRNA from 1 species